rnacentral:rRNA from 1 species
AUGAGCACGACCUCAUUGGCAUGGAUCAGUUGUCUGUUACAUUUGACGAGUUAUUCCAGUUAUACAAUAAUAAAGGCCAUCGACAAAACAAUCUUGACUUGCUACUGUCUGUUGAAGAUCGUCGAAUGCAGAAAAGCACAAAUUUAUGACAUUGGGUUCAUUAACCCAAAUGUCAUACAUGAAUGGACACUUAAAAAUAAUGUCACAGAAACCGAGGAAAACUUGCUACAAUCUUGCUCAAACAUCAAAACAAAGAUAAAAUACUCUUUCCUUACAACUUCAACUUUCACUUUAUUCUGCUAG